UUAUAAAGUUUGGUUUGUUGAGAGCUCACAUUCUCUUGCUGCUUCCACCACUUGCUCUUUGUGACUGUUAAGGUCCCCUGUCAUGCAGGGUGAAUGCUAGAACCAUGUGUUUCACUCUUCAUGGAGGACACUGAGGUGACUGCCUGAUUUUAAGAUUUGUGUGCUGGGCUACAGACACUGAUGCUCUGCACUGGAAUGUUCCUUUCUUCCUGUGUCACUGUGCUGUGGGGAGUAGUGAACGCUCUUGCAAAGUAGGCUUACAUUUACUACAUAUGUCCAUUGUGUAAUUGUGCUGUGGAAUGUACAUGGUAACUAAUAUGUACCAUUUCUUUUAAAAGGCACCAGGCCAGCCACUGUUUUACUGUUAGUUUUUGGGUUUGUUUGUUUGCUUUCAUUUUGUUUGUCUUUUUGUUUGGUUGCAUUGUCUCUCUAUAACUGCUUGUGCUGGGAGCUGGCUGUUCCUCUUUUGUUCUAUCAUAGGCUGUCCUUGUACAAGGCCGGAUCCGCAACUCAGUACUGCUCCUUUCGGGUUGGGUGCCACAUGGAGGGAGAUUUUCUCGGUGUGUACUGGUAAACAACACAGUGUGGUAUUUUGUAGUGGUAUCCUGUAGUGGUAUUUACUUCUUGUGUUUGCAGUGCUUGCCGUGUUGCAUUCUUUUGUGGUGCUGGGUUUGCUGUCUCGCUCUCCCUUCUCUCACCAGGGCCCCUCUCCAAGACGGGAGCUGUGUGUGCUGACCCGACCUUAUUAGCCUGAGGAGUCUCAGCCAGUUAUCCCAUGCAGUCUUUCUUACUUACAUUCUGGAUUGUAUUUAUACUAUUUGUAAUAAAUAUGAGUAUUUCGCAUA